GAGGAGACAACUCCUAAUAUUCACUGAGUCUAUCAGCAAGAACAUAAACUACCAAAAGCUCCAGAAUCUGGUUUUGGACUCUCAGCUUGGCAUUAACUCCCAGCUCAAGCUCAGGACUGGGGACCAAAUAUAUCAACUCAGUGUCAGCAUUAGUUGGAGACUUGAUUUUACUAAUGACCCAAAGGGGACACAGACCUCUAUAAACAUUAACCCUUCAAAGUCCUGCAGCGUGCCAGUCGCAGAGAAGGUGUUUUUGGAGCACAGCAGAACUACCCAUGAUAUAAGCCAAACGCUGAGCGAAAAUAUUUUAUUUGCACACCAGCCAAUAUAUGAGAUGCAACUACAGGGAUUUAAACACGAUACUCAGGCUCAUUAGCAAAGCAAGCAUAGAUAACAAGGAUUUACUGAACAUUACCGUCUGACUUGGCCAGCUCUCCCAGAGGGAUCAUUAAGAUGGAGAGCUAAGAAUCCCGGUGAAAUCGCAAUCUGAGAACAAGAUCAGCAACUUCAGCGUAGUGGGGAAGUCAGGAAAUGUCCUCCUCUUUGUGUCCAACAGAAGGAGCGCUACAGAAACAAAAAGGCAAAACAUGAAAGUACUUCAGAGACGGGUUUAAAAGAAAUAAAAGGUAUGUAUCAAAUCCAACAAGAGAAAAACUCAACUGAAACAGUAAAAGAAAGAUGCUCCAACUGUGUUUCCAAAAGGAAAAAGUGACAGUUGUCAACUAAGCAUCUAACAUCAUUGCUUGUGGCUGCAGAUAGUGCCCAGACCCAAAUUCCCCAAAAGUUCAAUGGAGAUGGAAGUGAUUCUCCUGAGGCACCCAGAAGAACAAUCAAGGAGCAAUUAGCAGAGGCCUAAAAUAGGAAGGAA
ensembl:lncRNA